UACAGAGGGUGCGAGCGUUAAUCGGAAUUACUGGGCGUAAAGCGCGCGUAGGCGGCUUUGCAAGUCGGGUGUGAAAUCCCCAGGCUUAGCCUGGGAACUGCAUUCGAGACUGCAUUGCUAGAGUAUGGGAGAGGGAAGUGGAAUUUCCGGUGUAGCGGUGAAAUGCGUAGAUAUCGGGAAGAACACCGGUGGCGAAGGCGGGGUCUCUGGGCCGAUACUGACGCUGAGGAGCGAAAGCGUGGGGGAGCAAACAGG
rnacentral:rRNA from 1 species